UAGCACGAGAAACAAAGAGAACACAAGCAACUGUCCUUGAAAAUAUCCAUUAAAACAGCUGGUUGCCAAGCAUCUGAAAGGACUAUACAAGUGCAACCUUUACUGCCUGUGUGUUUUACAUAUGACAUUAUCCUGCAAAGGAAACGGAGGUGGUAGCCUUGCCUUUCACGAGCACACUUUCGUAUUAUGUUGAAAUUGAUGAGUCGAUAGAGCAGGCCAGGUGCACCAUAUGGAGAUCAAAGGAUUGGAAUUAAUCACAUGAAAUCCUCCAAGAAAGACCGACUCGGAACAGUAAGGAAGAAUUAACCGGAGGGUGGGUGGAUCACGUCAAAUUAAAGAACCCACUGAAAUCCAUUUCAGUUUUAUUUGGCAUGAAAAUGAUCUGAUUUGGAGAACUGGCUCGACUUAAAAAAAGUGUCUAAAAUUAUCAGUCCUGUAUCUGUACAUAAGUAGCCACAUUGGUUGAAAUGCUCUGCAAACUGUAUUAAAAGCUAAAAUGUGUUCUAUUCUGAUCAACUCAGUGUAAAGUUAUUGUGCGGUGACACAGUGAGACUGUGUGGUUCCUGAAGCCAUCAUCUGACACU